rnacentral:rRNA from 1 species
UACGAAGGGGGCUAGCGUUGCUCGGAAUUACUGGGCGUAAAGCGCACGUAGGCGGUCUUUUAAGUCGGGGGUGAAAUCCUGGAGCUCAACGUCCAGAACUGCCUUCGAUACUGGAAGACUCGAGUCCGGGAGAGGUGAGUGGAACUGCGAGUGUAGAGGUGAAAUUCGUAGAUAUUCGCAAGAACACCAGUGGCGAAGGCGGCUCACUGGCCCGGUACUGACGCUGAGGUGCGAAAGCGUGGGGAGCAAACAGGG